UGGGGGAAUAUUGGACAAUGGGGCGCAAGCCUGAUCCAGCAAUGCCGCGUGUGUGAAGAAGGCCUUCGGGUUGUAAAGCACUUUUAUCAGGAGCGAAACGCUGUCGGCUAAUACCCGGCGGAACUGACGGUACCUGAGGAAUAAGCACCGGCUAACUUCGUGCCAGCAGCCGCGGUAAUACGAAGGGUGCAAGCGUUAAUCGGAAUUACUGGGCGUAAAGCGUGCGUAGGCGGUUUCUUAAGUCUGCUGUGAAAUCCCCGGGCUCAACCUGGGAAUGGCAGUGGAUACUGGGAGGCUAGAGUGUGUCAGAGGGUGGUGGAAUUCCCGGUGUAGCGGUGAAAUGCGUAGAGAUCGGGAGGAACAUCA
rnacentral:rRNA from 1 species